UACAGAGGUCUCAAGCGUUGUUCGGAUUCAUUGGGCGUAAAGGGUGCGUAGGCGGCGCGGUAAGUCGGGUGUGAAAUCUCGGAGCUUAACUUCGAAACUGCAUUCGAUACUGCCGUGCUUGAGGACUGGAGAGGAGACUGGAAUUUACGGUGUAGCGGUGAAAUGCGUAGAGAUCGGGAGGAAGGCCGGUGGCGAAGGCGGCGCUCUGGAACAUUUCUGACGCUGAGGCUCGAAAGCGUGGGGAGCAAACAGG
rnacentral:rRNA from 1 species